CUUUACUGUAGCUUUACAUUGGAUUUUGAACAGAUCUGUGUAGGAUAGGUGGGAGGCUUUGAAGCGGUGCCGCUAGGUAUCGUGGAGCCAACGUUGAAAUACCACCCUGGUGUGUUUGAGAUUCUAACCUUGGCCCGUUAUCCGGGUUGGGGACAGUGUAUGGUGGGCAGUUUGACUGGGGCGGUCUCCUCCCAAAGCGUAACGGAGGAGUCCGAAGGUACGCUAGGCACGGUCGGAAAUCGUGCUGAUAGUGCAUAGGCAUAAGCGUGCUUGACUGCGAGACUGACAAGUCGAGCAGGUACGAAAGUAGGGCUAAGUGAUCCGGUGGUUCUGUAUGGAAGGGCCAUCGCUCAACGGAUAAAAGGUA
rnacentral:rRNA from 1 species